UGGAUAUGAUGACUGAGAUACUGAUGAAAUCUCAAAAAUCCUCUGGAUAGUCAAGUACUGAUCAAG